GACGAACGCUGGCGGCGUGCUUAACACAUGCAAGUCGAACGGAAAGGCCCUGCUUUUGUGGGGUGCUCGAUUGGCGAACGGGGGAGUAAAACGUGAGGAUCCUCCCCUUGUCUGUGGGAUAACUUCAGGAAACUGGGGCUAAUAUCGCGUAGGAGCUCCUGCUGCAUGUGGGGGGUUGGAAAGAUUCGGCUGUUGGGGCUGGUUUCGCUGGUUAUCCGCUUGUUUGGGGGGUAGUGGCUUACCAAGGUUUUGAAGGGUAGCCGGCCUGGGAGGGUGACCGGCGACAUUGGGACUAAGAUACGGACCAGAAUCCUACGGGAGGCAACAGUGGGGAAUAUUGCACAAUGGGCGGAAGCCUGAUACGGCAACGCCGGGAGCGGGAUGACGGCCUUCGAGUUGUAAACCGCUUUCGCCUGUACCGAAGCGUGAGUGACGGUAAUGGGUAAAGAAGCACCGGCUAACUACGUG
rnacentral:rRNA from 1 species